GCAAUGCCAGAUCCCCAAUCCACUGAGCACGGCCAAGGAUGGAACCCAAAUCCUCAUGGAUACUAGCUGCAUUCGUUCCCACUGUGCCACAAUGGGAACUCCCAAGCUCAAUUACAGUUUGAUGUGCUGACAACAAAUUCUGAAGGGAUACUGUUUACAACAGCAAAACUAACAUCAUUCUUAUUAAGUCUGAAAAAGCAGGUAAAACACUGACAAAUUUAAACUGGCUUUGUCUCCUUAAAUAGGUGGUUGAUUGAUCAGAAUGAAACAGGACCAGCCUUCUGUUUUGCUUCCUUGAAUAAGUUGUUGAUGAAUCAAACCUGGAGUUAUUUUUCACAGACAGCACUGGGCAUGUGCAAGACAUAAACCCAUGUCUUUAAGAAAACCCCAGAACCAGGAAUCUUCAGUCUAUGGAACUCAAAGAAUAGAAAUGCUGCCGCAGGAGCUCCUUAUGAAAUGGUCAAGUUCCUCAACAAGAAAACUCUGGCUUCUGGCACCAGGGGAAGCUUAUAUUGACUAAUUCAAAACUAGCCAAUCAGCUUCCAAGUGUGAAAUUUCCCCAAUCCCCUAAAUUUCACCCGUGGCCCUGGGUGGAGGAGGUUGAGAGAUUGUUGUCUCUUAUUUCCUUGCCAGUAGACGUCACAAUAAAAGCCCUUAAUUUUCUCAAAAGCUGCUGCCUUGGUGUUGGCUUUUGUGCCCCCUGGGGAGAGAGUCCUUGCUUUGGUAACAACCUUGGCAACCACGAAGGGACACAGGUCUUGUGUGCACUGUGGUCCCCUAGCAGGGUGAGGGCCCUUGCCCCCAGACUUGUCUAGAGGGUCCGCUGUCUGGUUCCUGCUUCCCUGCUGCUGCUCUCCAGGCUCCUUGAUGCUACUUUACUUUUAAGAGAAGAAACAGCUCCUGGAUCAGAUAUCUCGGGCUGUUUUCAGCUGGAUUGUUAAAUUCUGCCAAAAGAGAUUCUCAACACACACUCCUACUGGAUUAUGGGUUUCCAAUAAUUAUGUCUUCGAAAAGUGUUUUUGCCAGGAUGGAUGGCUGCAGAACUGAGUCUGGGAAAUCAACAAUCUGCCUUCCAGGUGAAAGGAAUGAAGAAAGAAGA